CCUGCGCGGAAGAUGUAACGGGGCUCAAACUGGAUACCGAAGCUGCGGCAAUGUGCUUAGGCAUAUUGGGUAGGGGAGCGUUGUGUAAGUCUGUGAAGGUGUGUUGAGAAGCAUGCUGGAGAUAUCACAAGUGCGAAUGCUGACGUGAGUAACGAUAAUGCGGGUGAAAAACCUGCACGCCGAAAGACCAAGGUUUCCUGCGCAACGCUAAUCGGCGCAGGGUGAGUCGG
rnacentral:rRNA from 13 species